UGGGGAAUAUUGCACAAUGGGGGAAACCCUGAUGCAGCCAUGCCGCGUGUGUGAAGAAGGCCUUCGGGUUGUAAAGCACUUUCAGCGAGGAGGAAAGGUUGAUGCCUAAUACGCAUCAGCUGUGACGUUACUCGCAGAAGAAGCACCGGCUAACUCCGUGCCAG
rnacentral:rRNA from 1 species